ensembl:snRNA U6 U6 spliceosomal RNA
GUGCUUGCUUUAGCAGCACAUGUACCAAAAUUGGAAUGAUGCAGUUUAGCAUGGCCCCUGUGCAAGGAUGACAUGCAAAUUUGUGAAGUGUUCCCAUAUAUU